GUGGCUCCGAGGUCUCACAGCUUCACUCAAAAGAUGACAACCAUCCUGAUUACUAGGCAGUAUGACAUGGCACUUACAAGAUAACCCAACUACAUUCGAGUUACACGUUCAUUCUAGUUUUCUACGAGGAGAUAUGAGAACUCUUGGUACUGACAUAGUUUGAGAUGCCCUUAGCCCUUGAACUGCCACUCCCUACGGCACAUGGGGCAAAGGGGGGUUGAUGUUUGAGAAUUG
rnacentral:lncRNA from 1 species